UCGACAAGUUUUAUCUUCGUAAUGAGCAUCAACUAAUGAUCUCGUCUGCUCUCCAAUUAUGAUGAAUAAAAAAUCUGCUUAUCUUUUAGGAAUAAAGGGUUGUGCCUGCCCCAGCAACUGUCAGUCACAGGCAGCGCAGCGUUGGGUCAAGCCGCAGCAGUCAGGAUGGCCGAUCUCAGGAUCCUCCUCCUGGUCAGCCUGCUCUCUCUGCCCCGGGUCAAGGCGAGGGACCCUGUUUGGACGAGCUCUACGUUGAAGGAUGCCCAAGUUAUCUAUUCCAAGCAAUCGGUUUAUAUUUGGACACGAACCGAACCGUAUUCAUAGAACCGAGGGAAAUCUCCGAAAUAAUUAUAAGGAGCGGGGGAUAUCAGCCAGUCAACAUCACGACGCGGCACCAGAUCCGCCUGUGGGGGAACGGGUCCGAGGUCUGUGUUGAUGGCCCCGGACUUCAAACAAAAAAAGGAUCUUCAAUAAUUAUCUUGAGAUAGAGUCAAGCAAUCCUCUUUGGUUUACACUCGACUGCAUCAAUGCUUCCCACAGCUGCCGCUUCCACCGUCUCAUUAAAGUGGUUUUCGUUCCCGGCGAGAAUGGCCUGGUGACCUGGAGGCCGGAGGGCCAAGCCUUUAAGUUAGAAGCCGGAGUUCGGGGUCAUGGACGAGUCGACUACAUAGAACCAGG